rnacentral:tRNA from 1 species
GGGGCCAUAUUUUAUUUUAAAAUAUAUGUUUUGCACACAUAAGAUUGUAGCUCUA